UACGUAGGGGGCUAGCGUUGCCCGGAAUCAUUGGGCGUAAAGAGCGUGUAGGCGGCCCGAUAAGUCCGCUGUGAAAGUCCAGGGCUCAACCCUGGGAUGCCGGUGGAUACUGUCGGGCUCGAGUCCGGAAGAGGAGUGUGGAAUUCCUGGUGUAGCGGUGAAAUGCGUAGAUAUCUGGAGGAAUACCGGUGGCGAAGGCGGCAUCCUGGACCGACAUUGACGCUGAACGGCGAAAGCUAGGGGAGCAAACGGG
rnacentral:rRNA from 1 species